rnacentral:rRNA from 1 species
CAAGUCGAACGAACCUUCGGGUUAGUGGCGGACGGGUGAGUAACGCGUGGGAACCUACCCUCAGGAGGGGGAUAACGGUUGGAAACGGCCGCUAAUACCCCAUAUGCCGAGAGGUGAAAUGAGAUUCGCCUGAGGAUGGGCCCGCGUCUGAUUAGCUAGUUGGUGGGGUAAGAGCCUACCAAGGCGACGAUCAGUAGCUGGUCUGAGAGGAUGAUCAGCCACACUGGGACUGAGACACGGCCCAGACUCCUACGGGAGGCAGCAGUGGGGAAUUUUCCGCAAUGGGCGAAAGCCUGACGGAGCAACGCCGCGUGAGGGAUGAAGGCCUCUGGGCUGUAAACCUCUUUUCUCAAGGAAGAAGAUCUGACGGUACUUGAGGAAUAAGCCACGGCUAAUUCCGUGCCAGCAGCCGCGGUAAUACGGGAGUGGCAAGCGUUAUCCGGAAUUAUUGGGCGUAAAGCGUCCGCAGGCGGCCUUACAAGUCUGUCGUUAAAGCGUGGAGCUUAACUCCAUCAAGGCGAUGGAAACUGUAAGGCUAGAGUGUGGUAGGGGCAGAGGGAAUUCCCGGUGUAACGGUGAAAUGCGUAGAUAUCGGGAAGAACACCAGUGGCGAAGGCGCUCUGCUGGGCCAUAACUGACGCUCAUGGACGAAAGCCAGGGGAGCGAAAGGGAUUAGAUACCCCUGUAGUCCUGGCCGUAAACGAUGAACACUAGGUGUCGGGGGAAUCGACCCCUCCGGUGUCGUAGCCAACGCGUUAAGUGUUCCGCCUGGGGAGUACGCACGCAAGUGUGAAACUCAAAGGAAUUGACGG